UUUAACCCUCUAAAAAUAUCUAUUUGCUGCACAAACUCCAAAUCUAUUUUUACCUGGCACUCUACUACUUCACCCACCUAACAAAACUUGUUUCACUAUUUUAGUACCUUUCCACAAUUUCUGACACAAAUAAACAUACAUCAGACAAAAGAAAAUGCUAAAUAUAUGAACAGCUGUGGGCAAGAACUGACUCAACUGGCCCGACUCUAAACAACACCAGCAGUCAAGCAGUGCUUACGGCUUUAGGCUCCAGCUCCGCGCUCGCCCGCGCUCCCUCUGCGCGCCGACUGCGACGCCAAACUCCGGCAACAACAACACGGAACACGACGCAGUAGAGUUCCAAUCAGCAACCUGGUAGCAUCAGUGGCUCACCACGAAGCAGAACAACCCAUGAGCGUGCUCGCAACCAGCUCCAGACUAGGUCCGCCAUGGUGAGGUCAUCCCAGACGGUGUUCACCGACGGCGCCACGGCGUUCUCCAAGUCCUAGCCACGGAGGGGCGAGACGCCGGCAGCGUGAUCACAAUUUCAAAGACAACGACGACAAACGGCAGUCUCGGACAGCGACGUAAUCUGGUUUUACACGAACGUGGGGCACAGACAUGGGAAACAUUCGGUGAGUUGGGUAGAAACUGGAAGACGGUCGAGAAACACCUUAGGCGAGUUUGGUCAUGGCGACACAGAGAGAACAAAGAUUGUCCACCCACUGGUCACGGUGAAGCUUAUCCAAGGGGGAACUACAUGCAAGCACUACCAACAGCUUACACGAGCAUGGACACGCGGCUUUAUUACAUAAGCACCACGCAGGAUCAGUACACGACGAAACAACAGACUUGGGCUCGUAGUGGUCAAACCAGAGACGGCAAGCAAGGUGGUUGCCGGCUUGGAUAUGCUCAGGUCCAUCCUAGAAGUAGAUAUUUGGAACCUUAAUAUACUCGCUUACCCCUGGUGCCAAAACUCACCCACAUCCCAAUCUGACCGGAAGCAAUUGGAACAUAGCAGUAGUGGAUAAGCUCCGUACUGGUCUCUUCUUAGAUCCCUGAACCAAGCUCUGAACCUAAUGAGUUUGAACUCACACUGACCACCUGCACCUUUCCGGUUCACUCCCCUUUAUCUUACUAUUUUCAAAGGCAACAGGUCGACCAAGGCUAACAAAGUAUGCUCACAAAACAAAACUCUACCAACUCACUAUAGAAAUUCAGGGUUAAAAGCACACAGAUCAAAAGUUGCAAUGCCCCAAAAUCCCUCCAAACUCAAUGAACUUUCUAUUUCAGUUAUCUGAAACAAGAACCUGAUAAGGAAAAUUUUGAGACAAGUUACCCCCAAUUUUGUACAGCACCAAGGCACACCCACUUCAAGAGACUUGUUCACCUUGAUAUGGUAUUUCAUUUUUAUAUAGAAUUUUUAACCCAAAUAUCCUUGGUUUAAUUACCACAAAGCUCCAAAGGUGGGUAAAAACACACAGAUUCAGACAGAUGUUUUACUGUCUGAAAAUCCCCAACACCUGACAACUGAUCUUUAGGCAAACAUUACUCUACUUUUUAUGCAGCACCAUGUUAAUCUCACCUUAUGAAACGUAUUCACCAUACUGUGGUCUCCAAGUUUUCUAUAGAAACUACAGUCUAAAACCACUCAUAUUGAUCACAAAACAGCUCCAAACUGAGCAACCUGCUGCAAUUCAAUUUUCAGCUAAUCUGAACAAAAAUUCAGUCAGUGCAAACUGACAGUCCAUUUUUGGACAACUUUCACUCUAUUUUCCAUACAUCCCCAAGCCAAACCUUCUCAAAGAGAUUUGUUCACCAAUAUACUGUCUUCAAUUAUUUUAUAGAACCUACAGUCCAAAACCUUAUGGAUUAGGCACAAAGAAGCUCCAAAACUGCACUCACAACACUAAAAUUCAGAUUCAGGUUAUUGCACUAAGUCUGAAAACCACAAUUUCUAUCAGCUCGUGCUUGGACCAGUUUUUCUCCUAGUUUGAUAUGGUUUUAGGGCUAUCACAUUUCAUAAACAUUGUUAUCCUAUAGUUACUCUACAGGUUUGUUAUAACAACUGUUUCCAAAAUACUCAUGGAUUAAAAGUUACAGGGAUUCAAAAACAGAUAAACAAAACUGCUUUGGGCUGAUUCCAACUGACCCAAAUCUGAAUUUUUGCAAAUUACUUCAAAUUCUCCCACAUCACUUGGAUAGCUCCAAAUAUGAAAAUUGUUCACUUUUCCAAGCUCCACAACUUUGAUACAUGUACUUUUAGCAAAACUUAGCUAGAUCUUAAAAUCCACUUUUGGGCUAGUUUAGAGUUGAAAUUGGACUUGAUCUGCUUCAAGCAUUUCAUCAAUUUAUUGCAUCCUACUAAAAACAAGGUUAACUUUAAGUUCAAACCCAACUUUAGUGUAUAGAUCUCAUGUACAAAUUUCCAUUGGUUUAAAAUUUGUUUGCUUGUACUAGAUUUCAAACAAGGUCUCUGAACUUCUCUUGCUCUCUUCGAAACGACACACCUUCACCCUUUUGCAAAUUUGUUACCCUAGUGAAUGCAUUCUAGGUGUAUCAAGCAAGUUAAUGCAAGUGCAUAUGAUGAAAUGUCAAAUUUUUAGUUCUCGUAACACCAGGGGUGUUACAUCCUUCCCUCCUAAAAGGAAUCUCGUCCCGAGAUUAAAAUUCCAGGCCAAGUAAUGAAAAAGGAAAUGCGUCACCAACUUAUCUUACAUUUACUCUUACAUGGCAGGGGUGUGCCCCUGUUGAUUUACAUCAAAUAUAAUUUACUCAAAACUUACAGUUUACAAGUGACUAGAAACUCAGGAAAUUUCUCCAUUAGAUAGUCUUCCGACUCCCACGUGGCUUCAUCUUCUGAAUGUUGAUUCCAUUGUACCUUGUAAAACUUAAUCACCUUUCUUCGAGUAACCCGAUCCUUUUGAUCCAAAACCUUUAUGGGAUAUUCCGAGUAGGUCAAGUCUGGUUCAAGGUUGACAUCUGAAACUUCAACAACAUGUUCGGGGACUCGAAGACAUUUCUUUAACUGUGACACGUGGAAUAUGUUAUGCACUGCUGAAAGAUUCUCUGGCAGUUGCACUUUAUAGGCCACAGGUCCACACCGUUCGAUCACUGGAAACGGACCAACAUAUCGAGGUGCUAGUUUCCCUUUGACACCAAAACGGCUAACACCCUUCAUUGGUGACACUUUUAAAUACACAUGAUCUCCAACUUGAAAAACGAGAGAUCGGCGUCUUUUAUCAGCAUAACUCUUUUGACGAGAUUGUGCUACCUGCAGAUUUCAUUGGAUCACUUGAACAUUUUCCUCUGCUUCUUUUACAAGAUCAGGUCCAAAGAAACAUCUCUCCCCCGGCUCUAACCAAUUUAAUGGUGUCCUACCCUUCGACCAUAAAGGGCUUCAAAAGGUGCCAUUCUUAUGCUUUCCUGAUAAUUGUUAUACGAAAACUCUGCCAAUGGUAAACAUUCAUCUCACUUUGCUGAGAAAGCAAGAACACAUGCUCUCAACAUAUCUUCUAGAAUCUGAUUCACUCUCUCAGUCUGUCCACUCGUUUGAGGAUGAUAAGCAGAACUAUGAAUUAGUUUGGUUCCUAACGAGUUGUGUAACUCUUUCCAAAAUCUAGAUACAAAUUGUGAGCCUCUAUCAGAUACAAUGAUCUUAGGGACUCCAUGAAGACUUAAGAUACGAGCAAUAUAUAAUUCUGUGUAAGUCUUGACUGAGUAAGUAGUUUUCACGGGCAAGAAGUGUGCAAAGUUGGUGAGUCGAUCAACAAUUACCUAUAUAGAAUCAUAUCCUUUGGAGGUUUUGGGUAACCCGACAAUGAAAUCCAUACUAAUACUUUCCCACUUCCAACCUGGGAUAGACAAGGGUUGCAAUGGUCCGGCAGACUUCAAAUGUACGGCCUUUACUCGUUGACAAAUAUCACAUCUAGCAACAUAUCGAGCAAUCUCUAUCUUCAUUUUAGUCCACCAAAACCGUUGCUUUAAGUCUUGAUACAUUUUAUUACUCCCAGGAUGGAUAGAGUACCGGGAUAGGUGAGCUUCAUCAAGUAUUUGUUGUCGUAACUCAGGAACCUUUGGAACUACUAAACGAUCUUUGAACCAAAGAACUCCUUUAUCAUCUACCCGGAAUUGUGUGGUUGGAUCAAUCAUCAUCCUUUCCUUCAUAUGAGCUAUCCCGACAUUAAUCUUUUGGGCUUCGAUAAUUUGAUCAAUCAAAACUAAUCCUAACUGGAGAUUAGCUAUUGAUGCUUGUGGUACUAUUUCCAUGUUUAACUUCUCCAUUUCCUAGCACAAGGUCACAGUUAAAGGCUUGGCUGAAAGACAGUUACAUUAGGACUUACGACUCAAAGCAUCUGCCACGACAUUAGCCUAGCUAGGAUGAUAAUGAACCUCAAGAUCAUAGUCCUUGAUCAAUUCUAACCACCUUCGUUGCCUCAUGUUCAGUUCAGAUUGAGUGAAAAUAUACUUCAAACUUUUGUGGUCGGUAUUCAUAUGGCAUGUAUUACCCAACAAAUAAUGGCGCCAAAUCUUGAGCGCAUGGACAACAGUAGCUAACUCCAGAUCAUGAGUUGGGUAAUGCUCCUCAUGGCGUCGAAGUUGUCGUGAAGCAUAUGCAAUCACUCGACCUUCCUGCAUUAACACACAUCCAAUGCUCGUGCCUAAAGCAUCACAAUAAACAUUGAAUGAUUUCUCAAUGUCAGGUUGAGCCAACACGGGUGCAGUUGUCAACAGCUUCUUUAACUUCUCAAAGGCCUCGUUGCAUUCUAGAGACCAAUUGAACUUCACAUUAUUCUUUAGCAACUCUGUAAUAGGCUUAGAUACCUUCAAGAAGUCUGGAAUAAAACGACGAUAAUAUCCCGCCAUUCCAAGGAAACUCCGGACCUGAUGCACUGUAGUAGGUGGUUUCCAUUCCAAAAUGUCCUUGACUUUACUUGGGUCGACCGCAACACCUUCGGCAGACAAAAUAUGACCCAAGAACGGAAUUGUGUCCAACCAAAAUUCACAUUUACUAAACUUAGCAUAUAAUUGGUGUUCUCUUAACCUUGUCAGCACCACCUGCAAGUGCUCUGCAUGUUCGUCUUUGGUCUUGGAAUAUAUCAAAAUGUCAUCAAUAAACACAACCACAAAUUUAUCCAGCUCUGGCAUGAAUACUGAAUUCAUUAAGUACAUGAAAUGAGCUAGAGCAUUUGUUAAUCCAAAAGACAUAACCAAAUACUCAUAAAGACCAUAUCGGGUAGUAAAGGCAGUCUUGGGAACAUCUUCCGGACGAAUCCUUAUCUGGUGAUAACCUGAUCUAAGGUCAAUCUUGGAAAACACUUUAGCUCCAGAAAGUUGAUCGAACAACAAAUCAAUGCGCGGAAGAGGAUAUUUAUUUUUGAUGGUCACCUCAUUGAGUGAUCGAUAGUCCACACAUAACUGGAGCGUUUGAUCCUUCUUUUUCACAAAGAUAGCAUGGCAACCCCAAGGUGAUGAACUCGGGCGAAUGAAACCUUUAUUGAGCAAGUCUUGCAACUGAGUCUUCAGUUCUGCUAGCUCCUUAGGUGCCAUCCUGUAUGAUCUUCUGGAUAUGGGUGCAGUACCUGGCUGCAAUUCGAUUACAAAUUCCACGUCUCGCUCUGGAGGUGAAAGGGAAAUAGGCUUACACCUUUUCCUAAAUUGAUUUUGGUGGUUGAAUUGCCCAACACAAAUAAUUGGACUAACUAGCUUGCUCUAGUCUAUAAGUUUUACAGGUGCCAAAGGUUCACAACAAGCCAAUAAAAAGACCAAAGAUGGGUUCAAAUAAAGAGAGCUAAAUACAUCCCAAAGGCACCCUGGUCUGGCGCACCGGACUGUCUGGUGUGCCACCGGACAGUGUCUGGUGCACCACCGGACAGUGUCUGGUGCACCAGGGAACUUGACGCUGAACUCCUCACCUUCGGGAAAAUGGGAGGCCGCUCCGCUAUAAUUCACCGGACUGUUCGGUGAAGCACUGGACAGUGUCCGGUGACACACCGGACUGUCCGGUGUGCCAGCGGAGCAAUGACUACUUCGCACGCAACGGUCGACUGUAACACAUUUAAUGCACGCCUGCGCGCGCAAAGGACAGAACACGCGUAGAAGGCGCACCAGACAGUCUACAGGACCUGUCCGGUGCACCACCGGACAGCCCAGAGGCCCCACCAGUCAGAGCUCCAAUGGUCAGAACUCAACGGCCGGCUGACGUGGCUGGCGCACCGGACAGUGUCCGGUGGCGCACCGGACUGUCCGGUGCGCCAUGCGACAGACAGCCUCCGAACGGCUACUUUUGGUGGUUGGGGCUAUAAAUACCCCAACCACCCCACCAUUCAUUGCAUCCAAGUUUUCCACCUUCAACACAUUACAAGAGCUAUAGCAUUCAAUUCUAGACACUACCAAAGAGAUCAAAUCCUCUCCCAAGUCUCGAAUCACUCCAAAUCAAAUAGUGACUAGAGAGAGCGACAUUUGUGUUCAUUUGAGCACUUGCGCUUGGAUUGCUUCUUUUCUUUCUCAUACUUUCUUGUGAUCAACUCAAUUGUAACUGAGGCAAGAGACACCAAUUGUGUGGUGGUCUUUUCGAGGACUUUGUGUCCCGUUUGAUUGAGAAGAGAAGCUCACUCGGUCUAAGUGACCAUUUGAGAAAGGGAAAGGGUUCAAAGAGACCCGGUCUUUGUGACCACCUCAACGGGGAGUAGGUUUGCAAGAACCGAACCUCGGUAAAACAAAUCCUUGUGUCUCACUCUUUAUUUGCUUGCGAUUUAAUUUUCACCCUCUCUCUCGGACUCGUUUAUAUUUCUAACGCUAACCCGGCUUGUAGUUGUGCUUAAGUUUAUAAAUUUCAGAUUCGCCCUAUUCACCCCCCUUCUAGGCGACUUUCAAUUGGUAUCAGAGCCCAGUGCUUCAUUAGAGCCUAACCGAUCGAAGUGAUGUCGGGAGCAUCCGCCAAGAGGGAGAUCUGGACCGGCGAGAAGCCCGCCACAAGCCAUGGGAAGGCUCCAUCCAGGGAGUCCGCCAACAAGGUGAAGGGAUCCCCUUCACACGACAAGUCGCGUCGGAGCGGUGACAAGAAGAAGAAGAUGAAGAAGGUGGUCUACUACGAGACUGACUCUUCGUCGCCAUCCACCUCCGGCUCCGACACGUCGUCCGUAACUUCUAAGCGCCAUGAGCGUAAGAAGUUUAGUAAGAUCCCCCUACGCUACCCUCGCAUUUCUAAACGUACUCCAUUACUUUCCGUCCCAUUAGGCAAACCAACUAUGUUUGAUGGUGAAGAUUAUAAUAUGUGGAGUGAUAAAAUGAGGCAUCAUCUAACCUCACUCCACACUAGCAUUUGGGAUGUUGUUGAGAUUGGAGUACAGGUACCAUCACCGAGGGAUGAAGACUAUGAUUCGGACGAGGUCGCCCAAAUCCGUCACUUCAACUCCCAAGCCACCACUAUACUCCUCGCCUCUCUAAGUCGAGAGGAGUAUAACAAGGUGCAAGGGUUAAAGAGCGCCAAGGAGAUUUGGGACGUGCUCAAGACCGCACACGAAGGAGAUGAGAUGACCAAGAUCACCAAGCGGGAGACGAUCGAGGGGGAGCUCGGUCGCUUCCGACUUCGCCAAGGGGAGGAGCCACAAGAGAUGUACAAUCGGCUCAAGACCUUGGUGAACCAAGUGCGCAACCUCGGGAGCAAAAAAUGGGAUGACCAUGAAAUGGUCAAGGUUAUUCUUAGAUCACUCGUUUUUCUUAACCCCACGCAAGUUCAAUUAAUACGUGGUGAUCCUAGAUAAAAGGCUCAAAGAAAAUUUGUGAGCUUUGAGUUGAUGAUCAAAGGCUCAAAGAAAAUCAUCGAGCAAGAUGGCCCCUCCACGCCCGAAGCACAACCGGUCGCAUUCAAGGCGACGGAGGAGAAAAAGGAGGAGUCUACAUCAAGUAGACUACCCAUCGACGCCUCUAAGCUCGACAAUGAGGAGAUGGCGCUCAUCAUCAAGAGCUUCCGUCAAAUCCUCAAACAAAGGAAGGGGAAAGAUUACAAGCCCCGUUCCAAGAAGGUGUGCUACAAGUGUGGUAAGCCCGGUCAUUUUAUUGCUAAAUGUCCAUUAUCUAGUGAUAGUGACUGGGGCAACGACAAGAAGGGAAAGAGGAGAGAAAAGAAGAGAUACUACAAGAAGAAGGGCGGCGAUGCCCAUGUGUGCCGCGAGUGGGACUCCGACGAGAGCUCCACCGACUCCUCCUCCGACGAGGACGCCGCCAACAUCGCCGUCACCAAGGGUCUCCUCUUCCCCAACGUCGGCCACAAGUGCCUCAUGGCAAAAGACGGCAAAAGGAAGAAGAUAAAAUCAAAAUCCUCCACUAAAUAUGAAACCUCUAGUGAUGAGGAUAACUCUUGUGAUGAGGAGGAUAAUUUGCGCACCCUUUUUGCCAACCUAAACAUGCAACAAAAGGAAAAAUUAAAUGAACUAAUUAGUGCUAUUCAUGAGAAGGAUGAACUCUUGGACUCUCAAGAGGACUUCCUAAUUAAGGAAAAUAAGAAGCAUGUUAAGGUUAAGAAUGCUUAUGCUCUAGAGAUAGAAAAAUGUGAAAAAUUGUCUAGUGAGCUAAGCACGUGCCAUGAUAUUAUUGCCAACCUUAGAAAUGAGAAUGCUAGACUAAUUGCUAAGGUUGAUUCAAAUAUUUGUGAUGAUUCAAUUUCCAAUCUUAGAGAUAAUAACGUUAGUUUACUUGCUAAGAUUGAAGAAUUAAAUGUCUCUCUUGCUAGCCUUAGGAUUGAAAAUGAAAAAUUGAUUGCUAAGGCUAAAGAAUUAGAUGUUUGCAAUGCUUCCAUUUUCGAUCUUAGAGAUAACAAUGAUAUUUUACGUGCUAAGAUUGUUGAACUUAAUUCUUGCAAACCCUCUACAUCUAACAUUGAGCAUGUUACUAUUUGCACUAGAUGUAGAGAUGUUAACAUUGAUGCUAUUCAUGAUCAUAUGGCUUUAAUUAAACAACAAAAUGAUCAUAUAGCAAAAUUAGAUGCUAAAAUUGCUAAGCAUGACUUAGAAAAUGAAAAUUUUAAAUUUGCUAGAAGCAUGCUCUAUAGUGGGAGACGCCUUGGCAUCAAGGAUGGCAUUGGCUUCCAAAAGGGGGACAAUGUCAAACUUAAUGCCCCUCCUAAAAGAUUGUCUAACUUUGUAAAGGGCAAGGCUCCCAUGCCUCAGGAUAACGAGGGUUACAUUUUGUACCCUGCCGGUUAUCCCGAGAGCAAAAUUAGGAGAAUUCAUUCUAGGAAGUCUCACUCUGGCCCUAAUCAUGCUUUUAUGUAUAAGGGUGAGACAUCUAGCUCUAGGCAAUCAACCCGUGCAAAAUUGCCUAAGAAGAAAACUCCUAUUGCAUCAAAUAAUUCUAACAUCUCAUUUAAGACUUUUGAUGCAUCUUAUGUUUUAACUAACAAAUCUGGCAAGGUAGUUGCCAAGUAUGUUGGGGGCAAACACAAGGGCUCCGAGACUUGUGUUUGGGUACCCAAAGUUCUUGUAUCUAAUGCCAAAGAACCCAACACCGUUUGGGUACCUAAAAUCAAGAACUAAAUUUGUUUUGUAGGUUUAUGCAUCCGGGGGCUCAAGUUGGAUCAUCGAUAGCGGGUGCACAAACCACAUGACAGGGGAGAAGAAGAUGUUCUCCUCCUACGAGAAAAACCAAGAUCCCCAACGAGCUAUCACAUUCAGGGAUGGAAAUCAAGGUUUGGUCAAAGGAUUGGGUAAAAUAGCUAUAUCACCUGACCAUUCCAUUUCCAAUGUUUUUCUUGUAGAUUCCUUAGAUUAUAACUUGCUUUUAGUUUCGCAAUUAUGUAAAAUGGGUUACAACUGUCUUUUUACGGAUAUAGGUGUUACUGUUUUUAGAAGAAGUGAUGAUUCAGUAGAAUUUAAGGGAGUGUUAGAGGGUCAGCUAUACUUAGUAGAUUUUGAUAGAGCUGAACUCGACACUUGCUUAAUUGCUAAGACUAUCAUGGGCUGGCUCUGGCAUCGCCGACUAGCACAUGUUGGAAUGAAGAAUCUUCACAAGCUUCUAAAGGGAGAACACAUUUUGGGACUAACAAAUGUUCAUUUUGAGAAAGACAGGGUUUGUAGCGCAUGUCAAGCAGGGAAGCAAGUUGGUGUUCAUCAUCCACACAAGAACAUCAUGACGACUGACAGGCCACUCGAGCUCCUGCACAUGGACCUAUUCGGCCCGAUAGCUUACAUAAGCAUCGGCGGGAGUAAGUACUGUCUAGUUAUUAUGGAUGACUAUUCUCACUUCACUUGGGUGUUCUUUUUGCAGGAAAAAUCGCUUACCCAAGAAACCUUAAAGGGAUUCUUGAGACGGGCUCAAAAUGAGUUCGGCUUGAGGAUCAAAAAGAUUAGAAGCGAUAACAGGACGAAGUUCAAGAACUCUCAAAUCGAAGGCUUCCUUGAGGAGGAGGGCAUCAAGCAUGAGUUCUCUUCUCCCUACACACCACAACAAAAUGGUGUAGUGGAGAGGAAGAAUAGAACUCUAUUGGACAUGGCAAGGACCAUGCUUGAUGAGUACAAGACUUCGGAUCGGUUUUGGGCGGAGGCGGUCAACAUCGCUUGCUACGCCAUCAACCGGUUGUAUCUACACCGAAUCCUCAAGAAGACAUCAUAUGAACUCCUAACCGGUAAAAAGCCCAAUGUUUCAUAUUUUAGUCUUUGGUAGCAAAUGCUUUAUUCUUGUUAAAAGAGGUAGAAAAUCUAAAUUUGCUCCUAAGGCUGUAGAAGGCUUUUUACUAGGAUAUGAUUCAAAUACAAGGGCAUAUAGAGUCUUUAACAAGUCCUUUGGGCUAGUUGAAGUUUCUUGUGACAUUGUGUUUGAUGAGACUAACGGCUCUCAAGUAGAGCAAGUUGAUCUUGAUGAGCUAGAUGAUGAAGAGGCUCCGUGCGUCGUGCUAAGGAACAUGUCCAUUGGGGAUGUGUCCUAAGGAAUCCGAAGAGCCUCCACAAGCACAAGAUCAACCAUCUUCCUCCAUGCAAGCAUCUCCACCAACUCAAGAUGAGGAUGAGGCUCAAAAUGAUGAAGGAGAAGAUCAAGAAGUUGAGCCACCUCAAGAGGAGAGGAAUGAUCAAGGGGGAGAUGCCCAUGAUCAAGAUGAGGAAGAUGAACAAGUUCCAAGACCGCCACACCCAAGAGUCCACCAAGCAAUUCAACGAGAUCACCCCGUGAACACCAUCCUUGGCGACAUUCAAAAGGGGGUAACUACUCGAUCUCGUGUUGCUCAUUUUUGUGAACAUUACUCUUUUGUUUGCUCUAUUGAGCCACACAGGGUAGAGGAAGCACAUCAAGAUUCAGAUUGGGUGGUGGCGAUGCAAGAGGAGCUCAACAAUUUCACAAGGAAUGAGGUAUGGCAUUUAGUUCCACGUCCUAACCAAAAUGUUGUAGGAACCAAGUGGGUUUUCCGCAACAAGCAAGAUGGGCAUGGUGUGGUGACAAGGAACAAAGCCCGACUUGUGGCCAAGGGAUAUUCACAAGUCUAAGGUUUGGAUUUCGGUGAAACCUAUGCACCCGUAGCUAGGUUAGAAUCAAUUCGCAUUUUACUUGCCUAUGCUACUUACCAUGGCUUCAAGCUUUACCAAAUGGACGUGAAGAGUGCCUUCCUCAAUGGACCAAUCAAGGAAGAGGUCUAUGUUGAGCAACCUCCCGGCUUUGAAGAUAGUGAGUACCCUAACCAUGUUUACAAACUCUCUAAGGCGCUUUAUGGGCUCAAGCAAGCCCCAAGAGCUUGGUAUGAAUGCCUAAGAGAUUUUCUUAUCACUAAUGGCUUCAAAGUCGGAAAGGCGGAUCCUACUUUAUUUACUAAAACUCUUGAAAAUGAUUUGUUUGUAUGCCAAAUUUAUGUUGAUGCUAUUAUAUUUGGGUCUACUAACGAAUCUACAUGUGAGGAAUUUAGUAGGAUCAUGACACAAAAAUUCGAGAUGUCUAUGAUGGGGGAGUUGAAGUACUUCUUGGGAUUUCAAGUGAAGCAACUCCAAGAGGGCACCUUCAUUAGCCAAACGAAGUAUAUUUAAGACAUUCUAAACAAGUUUGGGAUGAAGGAUGCCAAGCCCAUCAAGGCACCCAUGGGAACAAAUGGGCAUCUCGACCUCGACACGGGAGGUAAAUCCGUAGAUCAAAAGGUAUACCGGUCGAUGAUAGGUUCUUUACUCUAUUUAUGUGCUUCAUGAUUGGACAUUAUGCUUUCCGUAUGCAUGUGUGCAAGAUUCCAAGCCGACCCUAAGGAAGCUCACCUUACGGCCGUAAAACGAAUCUUAAGAUAUUUAGUUUAUACUCCUAAGUUUGGGCUUUGGUAUCCUAGGGGAUCCACAUUUGAUUUGAUUGGUUAUUCGGAUGCCAAUUGAGCGGGGUGUAAAAUUAAUAGAAAGAGCACAUCAGGGACUUGCCAGUUCUUGGGAAGAUCCCUGGUGUCUUGGGCUUCAAAGAAGCAAAAUUCCGUAGCUCUUUCUACCGCCGAAGCCGAGUAUAUUGCCGCAGGCCAUUGUUGCGCGCAAUUGCUUUGGAUGAGGCAAACCCUUAGGGACUAUGGUUACAAAUUAACCAAAGUUCCUCUUCUAUGUGAUAAUGACAGUGCAAUCCGCAUGGCGGAUAAUCUUGUUGAGCAUAGCCGCACUAAACACAUAGCCAUUCGGUAUCAUUUCUUAAGAGAUCACCAACAAAAGGGGGAUAUCGAGAUUGCAUAUAUUAACACCAAAGAACAAUUAGCUGAUAUCUUUACCAAGCCACUAGAUGAACAAACAUUUAACAAACUUAGGCAUGAACUAAAUAUUCUUGAUUCUCGGAAUUUCUUUUGAUGUUUUGCACACAUAGCUCAUUCAUAUACCUUUGAUCAUAUCUCUUUUAUAUGCUAUGACUAAUGUGUUUUCAAGUGUAUCUCAAACCAAGUCAUAGAUUGAAAGGGAUUUGGAGUCUUCGGCGAAGACAAAGGCUUCCACUCCACUCCAUCGAAAUUACUCAUCCUUCGCCGUCACUCCGCGCCGCUCUCCAACUUUGGUAUAAUCUUCACUCAUAUUUUGUUCGCCAAAGGGGGAGAAAGUAGUUAUGAGGGCUUAUAUUUCACUCAAGUAUCCAUUUUUGGCGAUUCAUGCCAAAGGGGGAGAAAGUAUUAGCCCAAAGCAAAAGGACCACACCACCACCAAUUUUCAAAAUUUGAGUUAAGAAAAGAUUUUUGAAAUGAUGAAUUUUUCAAUUGGUAUCUUAUUUUUGAUAGAAUUUCAAAUUGGGUCACCCUCUUCAAAAACUAAUAUCUAAAACCCUCUUGAACACUAAGAGGAGGAUUUUAUUGAGGGGGAGUUUUGUUUAGUCAAAGGAAAAGCAUUUGAAAUAGGGGGAGAAAAUUUCAAAUCUUGAAAAUGCUUCUAAUCUUAUUCAUUUACCUUUGACUAUUUGCAAAAGGACUUUGAAAAGAAUUUACAAAAGAAUUUGCAAAAACAAAACAUGUGGUGCAAGCGUGGUCCAAAAUGUUAAAAAUAUAAAGAAACAAUCCAUGCAUAUCUUAUGAGAAUUUAUUGGUUCAAAUUCUUAGUAACCUUUUGCACUUACAUUAUGCAAACUAGUUCAAUUAUGCACUUCUAUAUUUGCUUUUGUUUGUGUUGGCAUCAAUCACCAAAAAGGGGGAGAUUGAAAAGGAAAUAGGCUUACACCUUUUCCUAAAUUGAUUUUGUUGAUUGAAUUGCCCAACACAAAUAAUUGGACUAACUAGCUUGCUCUAGUCUAUAAGUUUUACAGGUGCCAAAGGUUCACAACAAGCCAAUAAAAAUACCAAAGAUGGGUUCAAAUAAAGAGAGCUAAAGACAUCCCAAAGGCACCCUGGUCUGGCGCACCGGACUGUCCGGUGUGCCACCGGACAGUGUCCGGUGCACCAGGGAACUUGACGCUGAACUCCUCACCUUCGGAAAAAUGGGAGGCCGCUUCGCUAUAAUUCACCGGACUGUCCGGUGAGGCACCGGACAGUGUCCGGUGACACACCGGACUGUCCGGUGUGCCAGCGGAGCAACGGCUACUUCGCACGCAAUGGUCGACUGCAACGCAUUUAAUGCGCGCCUGUGCGCCCAGAGGACAGAGCACGCGCAGAAGGCGCGCCGGACUGUGGCAGAACCGCCCGAAUUAUUCCAGCUUAAGUGCCUAAGUCACGCCUCAGGGGCCGUAACACACUUAAAUCGGAAUAACCCGUCAGUCCCUCAGAUCUAGUCUGAUGAAGCCACUUAACCAGGAUCAAAUUCCACAAUCUCACUCGAAGGUGAGUCACAGAAGAAAUACAAUAAAACAGGAAACCUCAAAUUAAGUACUGAGUUAUUACAUAAAUCGGAGUUUCCGAGUAGCAAAUAAAGUUCAUAAAUUAAAGUGCAGCGGAUAAUCGAUGUCGUCGGUAGUGAGGAAAUGGGCAAGGCCUAGCCCACUACUCCUCAUGCUCCUCUCCUGCCGGAGCAACAUCCCACUCGACCGUCCAACCCGGUGGCAGGGUGGUAGGCCAAGUCACACCAUCAACCAAAUCUUGCAUGGUACCUGCAAAAAUGGUGCCACAAGCAAGGCUGAGUAUACUAAUACUCAGCUAGACUUAACCGGUGUGAGGAGUCUACUCCUCUACCUCUAGACUAUGCAGCUGUUUGGCUGAGGGGUUUGGUUUGCCAAAAGCACUAGCUGUUUCUAAAAGCAAAUUUUAGCUUUUCAAAUUAUAUCAUCAUUAACUUAGCUAGGUUUGCUCCUUCUAAGCAUACAUGGUAACAAUCAAUUAGUUCAAUCAACAAAUUAUCUCAUAUAGUCCACAUUUCCCUUCUUACUCGAUGCAGUACAAGGAAUCAAGCAGUCUCAUUAGCUGCGAGAAGCAGACGAUUCGAAUCGAGUUUUUAAACCUUGCAAGGUAAACCUAAACACACGUCAAGUCAGGGUACUCCGACCCCACACAAGACAACCGUCCCCAUUGAUUCCCCGUUCGCGUCCAGGCCUCACCGCCUUGGCAUACAAUGCUCCACUGACCCCGGCUGCCGCCGUGCAGUGACCGCACUUGUACCCACCAUAGCUAGCAUGGGAGACCCAGUCUCAGGCCGCAUGAGGGAUAAAGUCCGCGCCCGGCUUCACUUAGGUACUAGGUUUACCGGUUACCAUUUUUCCCGGCAUGUGCUUAGUACGUCCAAAAGCUUGACUCAGGUAUCCACACAUUAAUCCUAAAUUCAUUUUUCCCGUCUCAUGGACAAGGCAUCCUCCCUGGAUCCAAGUCCAUAGACCAACAUAAAUCCCGUUAUCAAGAUGAAUACAAUCAAUUCCUGACCUCGCGCGAGUGCUAGAAAAAUCACUCGACUUCUACCGAGAUCCUGAUUAGCAAGCAGCUACUCGACCUAGCAUACUAGUAUUCAUCUCAAAAAGGAAUCCUAAGUUCAUGCAGCUAGAGGUUUCAAGCAACUCCUACACUUAAGUGCACAUUGCAAUCCUACAAGCAUUAAGUGUAGUAAAGUAGCAUAUAAUAACAUGGUUAUGCAUAAAACCGGGGCUUGCCUUCAAUUGCUGGGGCUGCGGGGAGAUCCUCGAUAGCAGCCUCUGAAGCCUGCUCCUGGUCCUCCUCUUGGACAGGUCCUUGCUCGGGGAUGAGCACGUACUCUCCGUCGGCAAGAUUACAAUCUAAUGAAUGCAAUGCGUAAGAUAUAUGCAUGAUAUGAUAUGUGCUUUUAGAAAUUACAACUUUUAAAGGUGUAUGAUCUUCUUGAGUUUAAACAAGUUAACUUUACUUAUGUAAAACCCUUGGGUGGUAUACUUGGUAAAUUGGGUCAAACUUAGUUAAGGUAAGGGGUAGGUUUAUUUUUUUUGGGGGUUCCACUGAAUUCUUUUUAAGUCUUAGUGAUAAAUGAUAAGUUCUCAAGUUAGACUUAUUGAGGUGGGGUUUAUUUCUUCUUUCCUUUUCUUUUAUUCUUUUAAUGUUUUGGAGUAGGUUUGAACUACAAGUUGCUUUUCUAAAAUUCCAAAAAUUCUGCAAAAAUUACAGUGGCUUGUUACUGGUGUAUGAUUCUCGGCCUCAAAAUUUGGGGAUCAGAAAGUGAAUAGUUUUCUCUGGAUAAAAUUACCAAAUUUUAGGGCAGAAGGGGUGCUUUGAACUACAACUAUUAUUUAACAGUGGGUAAUUCUCUAAAACUCAUUUUUGCUGGCUUUUAGGUGUUAUAGCAUGACUUGAUACAAAUUUCUAGUCAUUAAUAUCUUUUAAUUAUUUUCCUAUGGUUUUCUCAAGUUUCUAGCCAAAUGGGUGCUUUCUACUACCACUAUAUUUGAAAAACAUCAAACAACAGAGUUCUUAUUUUUCUUGGUUAUUAUUUUGUGCAAGAGCAAUCAUUCUGAAGUUUGGCCUCUUUUUGCUUAAGGGAAGGGGUGGUUUGCACUAUUUGAAUUAAGUGGUCUUUCUCUUUAAUCACUAGCAAAAGGUAUGAGUUUACUUCUUCUUCAUGGGUUUGCAUUUUCUUCUGGUGGAUUGUCUCAUCAUGGACUUAGCUAAUUUUUGGUUGCCCAUUAUCACAUUAUUUGGGGUUGUUCAUGAUUUAGUUGGAAAAUGUCUUAUUAUCACUUUGCAUUUAAUUUCCUUACUUAAAGAGAUGGGCUGGGGUGCUCUGUAUUUUUGUAGUGGGGCUUUGGUGGUUAUAAGUUCACUGGAUUUUGAUUAACCCCUUUGGUUAUAGUUUUGCAAUUCUAAUAAUUGAUUUUCAGUCUAUAUAAGGCUAAACAAAUCAUCUUAAUUUAAAACCGGUCCAAAUUAAUGGUCUCUGUAUUUUUCCUAGGUUCUCUGUUGCAUAAGUAAACUAGGAAAAAUAUUAUUAAUCACUGUUCAUUAAUUUCUAAGGCCUUUCUGAUUUUCUCUAAGUUUUGGACAAAAUAGCUUUAAAUGAAUAACUACAUCAUAUUUUCCAAUGCUGGUGUUCCUACUAUUUUUAAACAGUGUCUAAAUAAGGUAUAAACAUCUACAAAUUUUCUUAAGCUCAGCACAAAAGAAAAACUAAUUUUCCUUAAUUAAACAAGGUUUAGGGGGUUUCUGUUUUUAAUUUUAAACUCUAAAAUUUAGAACAGAAAACAUAGGGUUCACUAUUUUUAAAUGACAGAUUACAAUAUUCCAGAGCUAGCAAAAUUGGUUUGACAACUUUUUAUUAAGAUUUCAUCAAGUUAUGGAUUUUCUAAGUUCUCUGGUCAUUUUAAAAAGAAUAACAGAAUUGAUUAAGUGGAAAUCCACUUUGCACUGGGGUCCCUGGCGGUUUCUAAGUUUCCUUCGCGAAUCAGUCCUUAGGUUACUAUUCACAUGAGUCGCUGACCUUACAGAAAACCCCUCGGGUUCUACAGAACCUAACCCGAGGUCCUUCUUCUACCUUAAACAGUAGCCGCGGCGAAGAAAAGGGCGGAGGGGCUUACCGGCGGCGAGACUGUUCCGGUGAAGUGGUCGAGGGUGAAGGGGAGGUCGCGGGGAUCACAACGGUGUGUGGAACACCGUCGGAGAUGGCCGGAGUCGGUCGGUCCACGCGCGCAGGCGGGGAUGCUCGUCGGCGGCGAGGAGACCGGCCUGGUCACGACGAGAUAGUUCAAUCAAAUAGGUCAGGGAGGUCCACGGGAUGCCAGAGGAGACAUGAGCGAAAGGAAUUGGGCGGAGACUCAUGGAUAGCUCGGUCCACGCGCGGCGGCGGAAGACCAAAGUCCGGUGAGGUCGAUCUCGGGCCUCCGGUGAAGUCCGGUCGGGUCCGAGGGCUUGGCAAGCUUCACGGGCUACUGGCGGAGCUAGCCGAAGCACUGGCUUGCCCAGAAGAUGGCUGGGGUGGGCUGGCCACGGUGGCCGAAGCUCUGGCGGCAAUGGCGGGCGGAAUUAAGCUCGCCGGAGCUAAGGGGAAGUGGCUGGCCGGUGAGGGUGAGUGCGGGGCGAAGUGGGGCGCGCCUGGGAAGGCUUUAUAGGCGCGGCGCGGUGCACGGGCGGUCGUGGACCGGCGAGUGCGCGCGGGCGUGCACUGGGAAGGCGCGGUGCGCGAACGGGCGUGAACCGGGGGUGUCAGCCGCGGUCGAACACGUGUUCCCGUUGCCUCUGCCCCUGUUCAAGCGCCGAUUGGGAGCAAAUCUUCGCGAAUUUGGGCAAGAUCACUGCAAGGGAUUUGUUCACCAGACCAAGCUUUGUCUUUUGUGUAUGGACGACGUGCGGUUUUAGGCUAGGGACAGGGAGUUGUAGCGUCACCAAGGUGCCAGUGUCAGAAUGCCUGGUCCCGAGGUUGAGCUGCGCCAAAACCAUGUCAAAAGGAUUUGGUUUGAGUUCAAACUUUCCCAGAAUGUGUUCAAGGUAAUUUGGCACGACUUUGAUAUUUGGAUCUUCUGGCUUUGAGUUUGGAAAAGUAGAGAACACAGGUGAUCUUUGAGAAGAGGUCUGAAAUUCAGAAAUUCAGAAAUCUGAAUUUCUCUAAGGGUUCAUUGAUCAAGGGCUGAUUUGGAGAUUUAUUUGAGUUAUUUUGGCUAAGCCUUCUCAAUAUUUCUUGUUGCUUAACAAAUAUACUUUAACUUAUAUAAUUGGCUCAACUCAAAAUUUUAAACUUUUCAUCCUCUUUUCACAUCUUCUUGAAUUUUGUUCAUGGGGUUUACUUAGGGUUUUGAAUUAGGGUUGCACAUUCUUUUCUUUCAAAAGUCUCAAUUGUUUUGAUCAUGACACUUUUAAGUAUAUACUUGGUGAAUUCUUCCUCACUUAAAUUGUUUUGAUGUUCAUGCUUACUUUGGUUCACAUAAAAUAAUGGUUCUUGGUUUGGCUUUUUAAGAGAAACCCUAAGUGACACUGGGGUGUCACAGCCUUCCCCCCUUAAAGGAAUCUCGUCCCGAGAUUCGGGCCAGAGUCCUCCCGGGGUGAAGCGAAGGGUGAGACUGAUAGGAAAAAGGAUUUUGAUUGUUAUUAUUAGGGCAAAACUGCUCUUCGAAUGUCAUUCUCUUUGCAACUUCAGAAGGAAGUCCUUUUAAGUUUUACUUUAUAGUUACUUCAUUCUGAAUUAAGAUCAUAUUUUUGGAAAUUAGAUUCGAAAGGCAGGAGGAGGGGUUGGGGGUGAUUACGUACCAGCUUUCUUAGGUAGGCAAUCAGGGAAGUUGGAUCUUAAGAAUUCCUCGGUUUCCCAAGUAGCUUCCUCCUCUGAGUGAUUACUCCACUGGACCUUGAACAUCUUGAUCGAUUUAGCCCGAGUUGAUCUUUCCUUGCAAUCCAGAAUCUUGGAGGGGUACUCUUGGUACGAGAGAUCUGGCUCUAUCUCCAAUUCUGGCUCUGCUAUGAUCUCAGUCGGCAAUCGAAUACACUUCUUCAGCUGAGAUACAUGGAAUACACUGUGAAUGGCAGACAUCUUUGAAGGUAACUUCAGCUUGUAUGCCACGGGUCCACAUGCUUCGAUGAUCUCAUAAGGUCCAAUGUAACGAGGGGCUAGCUUGCCUUUGAUCCCAAACCUCUGCACUCCCUUGGUGGGUGAUACCUUGAGGUAUACGAAACUUCCCACCUUGAACUGGAGAGGUUUUCUUCUUCUAUCAUGAUAGCUCUUCUGCCUGGCCUGAGCAGCUUCUAGAUUCUUCCUGAUUAGCUUGACCUUCCUUUCGGCUUCGGUCACUAAAUCAGGUCCAAAAACUUCUCUUUCACCAGGUUGAGACCAAUUGAGUGGUGUCCUGCACCUUCUUCCAUAGAGAGCUUUGAAAGGUGCCAUCUUUAGGCUGGAUUGAUAACUAUUGUUAUAAGCAAACUCUGCCAAGGAGAGGUGCUUAUCCCAGUUCUUGCCACAAUCGAUCGCACAAGCUCUCAGCAUAUCUUCCAGAAUCUGGUUUACCCUUUCCGUCUGACCAUCAGUCUGUGGGUGGUAAGCUGAACUCCUGAUUAGCUUGGUUCCCAAAGACUCUUGCAAUUGUUCCCAAAAUCUGGCAACAAAUUGGGCUCCUCGGUCAGAAACAAUGGUCCGAGGUAAUCCAUGCAAACACACGAUCCGGUCAACAUACAAUUCUGCAUACUUCUGAGCCUUAUCAGUGGUGUGCACAGGAAGAAAAUGUGCUACUUUCGUCAAUCGGUCUACAAUAACCCAAAUCGAAUCAUGAUGACGAGAGGUGUUGGGCAGACCCACAAUGAAAUCCAUGCUGAUGUCGUCCCACUUCCACGAAGGUACGGACAGUGGUUGCAAAGCUCCAGCGGACUUCAAGUGGCUUGCCUUUAUCCUCUGACAGGUGUCACACUCUGAUACAUACUGGGCUAUCUCCCUCUUCAUUCUGGUCCACCAGUACAAGGGCUUCAAAUCAUGGUACAUCUUGGUGCUUCCCGGAUGCAUAGAGAAUUUGGAGAGAUGAGCCUCAUCCAAAAUUUUCCUCUUGAGAUCCUGGUCCUUAGGAAUUACCAAUCUGCUUUUGAACCAUAACACACAUUUCUCAUCCUGGCGGAAACAAUUAUACUUCUCAACCUUCUGAUGAAGAUUCUUCUUGAUAAUCUGCACUCCCUUGUCAUUGAGCUGGGCCAUGAUAAUCUGGUCUUGCAAAGCUGGCUCAACAGAAAUGUGAGACAAAGAACCAGAAGGAAUCACUUCAAUUUGCAUCUUGCUCAACUCAUCACACAAGGUGUUAAUACGAGAAUCCAUCAGAAUACAAUUGCAUUGCAACUUCCGACUCAAGGCAUCGGCUACUACAUUAGCCUUCCCUGGGUGAUAAUGUACCUCCAGGUCAUAAUCCUUGAUCAGCUCUAGCCAUCUUCUCUGCCUCAUGUUGAGAUCAGCCUGAGUAAAAAUGUACUUAAGGCUCUUAUGAUCAGUGAAGAUGUUGCAGUGGGUUCCCAUUAGAUAGUGCCUCCACAUCUUCAAUGCAUGAACCACUGCUGCUAACUCAAGGUCAUGAGUGGGAUAAUUCUGCUCAUGAGGCCUGAGUGCUCUUGAGGCAUAAGCAAUGACUCGGUUGUCUUGCAUCAAGACACAACCUAGCCCGGUGCCAGAGGCAUCACAAUAUACAUCAAAAGGCUUGCUGCUGUCGGGUUGCGCCAAUACUGGUGCUGUGGUCAGAUGCUGCCUUAAUGCAUGGAAGGCAUCUUCGCACUUCUGACUCCACACAAAUUUGACUUCUUUCUUCAGCAACUCAGUAAUAGGCUUCGCAAUUCGAGAGAAGUCCGGAAUAAAUCUUCGGUAAUAACCAGCCAAUCCCAGAAAACUCCGAAUCUGGCGAACAGUCGUUGGUGGCCUCCAGUUCAUCACCUCUUGCACUUUGUCAGGAUCAACAGCUAUCCCAGCCUGAGAGAUAGUGUGACCCAAGAAUUUGAUUUCCUUUAGCCAAAAAUCACACUUGGAUAGCUUGGCAUAAAGGUGGUGCUCUCGCAGACGUUGAAGCACUACAUGCAAAUGCCCGGCAUGUUCUUCUUCGUUCUUCGAGUACACUAGAAUAUCAUCGAUGAAAACCACCACGAACUUGUCCAAUUCCGGCAUAAAAACAGAAUUCAUCAGAUACAUGAAAUAUGCUAGUGCAUUUGUCAGCCCGAAUGACAUCACCAAGAAUUCAUAUAGCCCAUAUCUGGUUGAGAAUGCCGUCUUCGGAAUAUCACUUGCUCGUAUUUUGAUCUGAUGGUAGCCAGAGCGAAGGUCUAUCUUGGAAAACACCUUGGCUCCGACCAACUGGUCAAAGAGAACAUCAAUACGAGGCAAAGGAUACUUGUUCUUGAUAGUUACCGCAUUAAGAGGGCGGUAAUCUAUACACAGCCUCAAGCUUUCAUCCUUCUUCUUCACAAACAGUGCUGGACAUCCCCAAGGCGAAGUGCUUGGACGAAUGAAUCCCUUAUCCAGCAACUCUUGCAACUGCUUCUUCAACUCUGCCAACUCAGCGGGUGGCAUUCGGUAGGGCCUCUUGGAAAUUGGGGCCGUUCCCGGUUGCAACUCGAUGGCGAAUUCAAUAUCCCGGUCCGGUGGCAUUCCCGGCAAUUCAUCAGGAAAGACAUCUGCAUACUCACAGACCACUGGGAUCUCCUUCAGGGGUAUCUCCGUCAUAGAGAAAGCACAUGACUGAGAAGAACCCUGACUAGGCAGAAUCAAAGUGAAAUUUCCGCAGAAAGGAGAAUUAACUUCCACGGUACGACUGGCUACAUCAAGCACAACUUGGUGCAAGGUCAUCCAAUUUGCUCCUAGAAUAAUGUCCACAUUUUCCAAUCCCAACACAAGAAGAGUGGUUUUGAUAAUGUGGCUUCCUAGUUGAAUAGGCACACUUUGGUUUAAUUGAUUAGUUGCAAUUUUACCCCCAGGUGUGACUAUCAUGAAUGACCCUUUUGAGUGAGAGAAUGGCAGUUUGCAAUUAGCACUGAACUUUUGGCUAAUGAAACUAUGAGAUGCACCAGAAUCAAACAGAAUUAAAGCAGGUUGAUUAUAAACUGAAAAGGUACCGGUCAUGAUAGGAGCUCCUUCUGGCACUUCCUCUAGAGCAGUGAAGUUGAGCUUCCCUUGCCUGACUUGCACCUUCUGCUUUCUUCCCUUGUCUUGAUUUGGUGCUGGCAUCUGCCUCUGCUGGUUCCUGGGACAAUUCUUGGCAUAGUGGCCCACAUUGCCACAAGUGAAACACUUGUUCCCAUUGCCCUGGCGGAACUGCUGCUGCUGAGGAGGCUGAUUGUUCCUUGGGGCGGGAGCUGGAUAGCGGUUGGGUGCCGGCUGCUGCUGCUGCUGGGGUGGCCUGAUCACCCAUCUGCCUGCCUGCUGCUGAAAACCCCUGCUCUGAUUGUGAGAAACAAUCCGGAACCUCUGAGCCUGAGCGGAUGGUGCUGCCAUUGGUGCCUUUCUCUUCUUCUCUGCCCGGUGAGCAACAAUGCAAUCCUCCUGAGAGAUGGCCAUGUUGACCAACUCAUUGAAGCUAUCAGCCCGGACAGUGUUGAGUCGUUCCCGCAGCUUGGUAUUGAGACCCCUGCGGAAGCGAUCCCUCUUCUUUUCAUCAGAAUCAGCAUGAUACCCUGCAUACUGGCAUAAGUCGUUGAAGGCUUGCGCAUACUGCAGUACCGUGCGGGUUCCUUGAUUGAGGGCCAGGAAUUCAUUCAACUUCCGAUCAAGAAUGCCAGCUGGAAUGUGGUGUCCUCUGAAGACAGUCUUGAAUUCCUCCCAAGAUACUUCAUGAUCAGCGGGGAGCAUAGCACGGAAGUGGUCCCACCAAGUCCGAGCAGGGCUGCGAAGCUGCUGUGCGGCGAAGCGAGCCUUGGCCUCAUCAGGGCAGUCUCCCGUGAGGAGGGGAAACUUGGACUCGACGACGCGAAGCCACACGUCGGCGUCCAACGGAUCCUCUGCCUUGGUGAACAAGGGCGGCUGCGUGCUCAGAAACUCCUGGUAUGUUGCCAUAGCCGGAGGUCGCUGAUGCUGGCCUCCACCAUGAUGCUGUUGGUGGGGCUGGCGCUGCAAGAGCUGUCGCAGAAUCUCAUUCUGCUGGGCCAUCAGCUCCUGCACUGUGGGAGCUGGAGGAGGUGGCGGGGGAGCUUGCUCAUUCUGCCCGCGACGCUGCCUAGCUGCCAUCUGAAAACAGAGAUUGUCGCCAUUGUUAUCCCAAUCCACAUUUCUGAACGACAAUAUAUCAUCUCAUAUGGAAUGAAAAUGCCAUAAUCAUAAUAUUAGGUUCAAAAUGAAGAUAACAUGGUGACAAGGAUCCCACAGUUAUCAAAAGUUUACAGGGUUACAUUAAUCAGGGGAAGGUACCCACAAGCCUAGUCCAAAAUGUGAUACUACUAAGCUCGCAUAGGUUUCUAUCCGCCUAAAAACGUCGAAGCGACUGCUUAACCCUGAGCGGUGGAAGCGACACUGGAUACAGGUGAAGGAGGCAUCGCGGAGGUAGUCCCAUUGGCACCAGGGGCUGGUCCUAGCUCCUCGGGAGCCUCUUCUCCCUCGCUUCCUGCUUCAUUGGCCUCCAUCUCCAGGUGGUGCAUGUCCAAGUGGUCAUUUGCUUCCUCGAGUUCCCUCUGCACGUCGUGAAGCUGGUUUUCCAAGACAUCAAUAGUGUUGUCUCGGAUCUCCACUUGCUGCUCCAGGGUAGCGAUACGCUGGCUCAGCCUCUCCACCUGCAGAUCCUUCUCCACCAACUCUGUGGACAGGUCGACCACAAAAUCUUCCCAACUGUCGAGGGUGAGCUUGGCAGCCUGAGCGGUGUUAGCAAGAAGUGUCAUAGCAUCACUCUGAAGGGCCUGAAGGCGGUACAGCGCACUCAUGCACUGAACAGUGACCCUCCCAACCAAGUCAGGAUACAUCGCCCACACAUCCUUCACAUGGCUCACGCGGUUACACCACAUGGGAUCAUCCUUCUUCUCAGCAGGGAAGAGUCCCAAGGGGUGCAUCACCAUCUCCAGGGGAUGGUAGCCACAAAAAGUCGUCAGAGUCUUCAUGGCUGCUGCCUCAACGGUGUCGUCCGUCCUGAGUCCAAUCGUCUCAGAGUCAAGAGAACGCCAACCCGGCUGAAGGGGAUGAGCCUCCAAAGUUAGCCAGACCCGACAACGAGGUACCCGAUGCUCCUCAUACAACUGCACUGUGUAUAAAGGGGGCGUAGGGUAACCGGCGGAGUUAAGCACUUCCCACAAGAUGGAAGGAAAGCCAUCGCGAGAAAGGAAGUCAGAGCUGAAACGAGGGUCUCCUCCACUGGCGGGGGUGGGUGAAUUCAUCUGCGGAAGGGAAUCAAAGAUAAAGAUUAUGGUGGAAGGAAAAAGAAAAAGAGAGCCCGGAUGGUUUUAAGGAAAAAGGGUUAGCUCCAUUUUAAUUCCUCUUGGUGUUUUGUAAUGUAUGCAUGCUGUAAGAAACGUUGCCUCUCACAAGAAAAUAGGGUGCCUUUUUAGGGCAUCCUUAAAAAUAUAAGUAUUGGCCCACAGGGCCUAAUUAAUUAGCCACCUAUUUCUCCCCUACGCCUAAGGCCUUUCGUCCUAGGUCUAGCGAUCUAGUCCUGACGAUCCGUAGUAGUUUCUAGGCAAGUUUUAGAUUUUGAAAAUCGGUAUUCAUGGUUUAUUGUCCUUCUCUGUGGUGGAAUUUGCUCCGAUACCAGCUGUGGCAGAACCUCCCGAAUUAUUCCAGCUUAAGUGCCUAAGUCACGCCUCAGGGGCCGUAACACACUUAAAUCGGAAUAACCCGUCAGUCCCUCAGAUCUAGUCUGAUGAAGCCACUUAACCAGGAUCAAAUUCCACAAUCUCACUCGAAGGUGAGUCACAGAAGAAAUACAAUAAAACAGGAAACCUCAAAUUAAGUACUGAGUUAUUACAUAAAUCGGAGUUUCCAAGUAGCAAAUAAAGUUCAUAAAUUAAAGUGCAGCGGAUAAUCGAUGUCGUCGGUAGUGAGGAAAUGGGCAAGGCCUAGCCCACUACUCCUCAUGCUCCUCUCCUGCCGGAGCAACAUCCCACUCGACCGUCCAACCCGAUGGCAGGGUGGUAGGCCAAGUCACACCAUCAACCAAAUCUUGCAUGGUACCUGCAAAAAUGGUGCCACAAGCAAGGCUGAGUAUACUAAUACUCAGCUAGACUUAACCGGUGUGAGGAGUCUACUCCUCUACCUCUAGACUAUGCAGCUGUUUGGCUGAGGGGUUUGGUUUGCCAAAAGCACUAGCUGUUUCUAAAAGCAAAUUUUAGCUUUUCAAAUUAUAUCAUCAUUAACUUAGCUAGGUUUGCUCCUUCUAAGCAUACAUGGUAACAAUCAAUUAGUUCAAUCAACAAAUUAUCUCAUAUAGUCCACAUUUCACUUCUUACUCGAUGCAGUACAAGGAAUCAAGCAGUCUCAUUAGCUGCGAGAAGCAGACGAUUCGAAUCGAGUUUUUAAACCUUGCAAGGUAAACCUAAACACACGUCAAGUCAGGGUACUUCGACCCCACACAAGACAACCGUCCCCAUUGAUUCCCCGUUCGCGUCCAGGCCUCACCGCCUUGGCAUACAAUGCUCCACUGACCCCGGCUGCCGCCGUGCAGUGACCGCACUUGUACCCACCAUAGCUAGCAUGGGAGACCCAGUCUCAGGCCGCAUGAGGGAUAAAGUCCGCGCCCGGCUUCACUCAGGUACUAGGUUUACCGGUUACCAUUUUUCCCGGCAUGUGCUUAGUACGUUCAAAAGCUUGACUCAGGUAUCCACACAUUAAUCCUUAAUUCAUUUUUCCCGUCUCAUGGACAAGGCAUCCUCCCUGGAUCCAAGUCCAUAGACCAACAUAAAUCCCGUUAUCAAGAUGAAUACAAUCAAUUCCUGACCUCGCGCGAGUGCUAGAAAAAUCACUCGACUUCUACCGAGAUCCUGAUUAGCAAGCAGCUACUCGACCUAGCAUACUAGUAUUCAUCUCAAAAAGGAAUCCUAAGUUCAUGCAGCUAGAGGUUUCAAGCAACUCCUACACUUAAGUGCACAUUGCAAUCCUACAAGCAUUAAGUGUAGUAAAGUAGCAUAUAAUAACAUGGUUAUGCAUAAAACCGGGGCUUGCCUUCAAUUGCUGGGGCUGCAGGGAGAUCCUCGAUAGCAGCCUCUGAAGCCUGCUCCUGGUCCUCCUCUUGGACAGGUCCUUGCUCGGGGAUGAGCACGUACUCUCCGUCGGCAAGAUUACAAUCUAAUGAAUGCAAUGCGUAAGAUAUAUGCAUGAUAUGAUAUGUGCUUUUAGAAAUUACAACUUUUAAAGGUGUAUGAUCUUCUUGAGUUUAAACAAGUUAACUUUACUUAUGUAAAACCCUUGGGUGGUAUACUUGGUAAAUUGGGUCAAACUUAGUUAAGGUAAGGGGUAGGUUUUUUUUUUUUGGGGGUUCCACUGAAUUCUUUUUAAGUCUUAGUGAUAAAUGAUAAGUUCUCAAGUUAGACUUAUUGAGGUGGGGUUUAUUUCUUCUUUCCUUUUCUUUUAUUCUUUUAAUGUUUUGGAGUAGGUUUGAACUACAAGUUGCUUUUCUAAAUUUCCAAAAAUUCUGCAAAAAUUACAGUGGCUUGUUACUGGUGUAUGAUUCUCUGCCUCAAAAUUUGGGGAUCAGAAAGUGAAUAGUUUUCUCUGGAUAAAAUUACCAAAUUUUAGGGCAGAAGGGGUGCUUUGAACUACAACUAUUAUUUAACAGUGGGUAAUUCUCUAAAACUCAUUUUUGCUGGCUUUUAGGUGUUAUAACAUGACUUGAUACAAAUUUCUAGUCAUUAAUAUCUUUUAAUUAUUUUCCUAUGGUUUUCUCAAGUUUCUAGCCAAAUGGGUGCUUUCUACUACCACUAUAUUUGAAAAACAUCAAACAACAGAGUUCUUAUUUUUCUUGGUUAUUAUUUUGUGCAAGAGCAAUCAUUCUGAAGUUUGGCUUCUUUUUGCUUAAGGGAAGGUGUGGUUUGCACUAUUUGAAUUAAGUGGUCUUUCUCUUUAAUCACUAGCAAAAGGUAUGAGUUUACUUCUUCUUCAUGGGUUUGCAUUUUCUUCUGGUGGAUUGUCUCAUCAUGGACUUAGCUAAUUUUUGGUUGCCCAUUAUCACAUUAUUUGGGGUUGUUCAUGAUUUAGUUGGAAAAUGUCUUAUUAUCACUUUGCAUUUAAUUUCCUUACUUAAAGAGUUGGGCUGGGGUGCUGUAUAUUUUUGUAGUGGGGCUUUGGUGGUUAUAAGUUCACUGGAUUUUGAUUAACCCCUUUGGUUAUAGUUUUGCAAUUCUAAUAAUUGAUUUUCAGUCUAUAUAAGGCUAAACAAAUCAUCUUAAUUUAAAACUGGUCCAAAUUAAUGGUCUCUGUAUUUUUCCUAGGUUCUCUAUUGCAUAAGUAAACUAGGAAAAAUAUUAUUAAUCACUGUUCAUUAAUUUCUAAGGCCUUUCUGAUUUUCUCUAAGUUUUGGACAAAAUAGCUUUAAAUGAAUAACUACAUCAUAUUUUCCAAUGCUGGUGUUCCUACUAUUUUUAAACAGUGUCUAAAUAAGGUAUAAACAUCUACAAAUUUUCUUAAGCUCAGCACAAAAGAAAAACUAAUUUUCCUUAAUUAAACAAGGUUUAGGGGGUUUCUGUUUUUAAUUUUAAACUCUAAAAUUUAGAACAGAAAACAUAGGGUUCACUAUUUUUAAAUGACAGAUUACAAUAUUCCAGAGCUAGCAAAAUUGGUUUGACAACUUUUUAUUAAGAUUUCAUCAAGUUAUGGAUUUUCUAAGUUCUCUGGUCAUUUUAAAAAGAAUAACAGAAUUGAUUAAGUGGAAAUCCACUUUGCACUGGGGUCCCUGGCGGUUUUCUAAGUUUCCUUCGCGAAUCAGUCCUUAGGUUACUCUUCACAUGAGUCGCUGACCUUACAGAAAACCCCUCGGGUUCUACAGAACCUAACCCGAGGUCCUUCUUCUACCUUAAACAGUAGCCGCGGUGAAGAAAAGGGCGGAGGGGCUUACCGGCGGCGACACUGUUCCGGUGAAGUGGUCGAGGGUGAAGGGGAGGUCGCGGGGAUCACAACGGUGUGCGGAACACCGUCGGAGAUGGCCGGAGUCGGUCGGUCCACGCGCGCAGGCGGGGAUGCUCGUCGGCGGCGAGGAGACCGGCCUGGUCACGGCGAGAUAGUUCAAUCAAAUAGGUCAGGGAGGUCCACGGGAUGCCAGAGGAGACAUGAGCGAAAGGAAUUGGGCGGAGACUCACUGGAUAGCUCGGUCCACACGCGGCGGCGGAAGACCGAAGUCCGGUGAGGUCGAUCUCGGGCCUCCGGUGAAGUCCGGUCGGGUCCGAGGGCUUGGCAAGCUUCACGGGCUACUGGCGGAGCUAGCCGAAGCACUGGCUUGCCCAGAAGAUGGCUGGGGUGGGCUGGCCACGGUGGCCGAAGCUCUGGCGGCAAUGGCGGGCGGAAUUAAGCUUGCCGGAGCUAAGGGGAAGUGGCUGGCCGGUGAGGGUGAGUGCGGGGCGAAGUGGGGCGCGCCUGGGAAGGCUUUAUAGGCGCGGCGCGGUGCACGGGCGGUCGUGGACCGGCGAGUGCGCGCGGGCGUGCACUGGGAAGGCGCGGUGCGCGAACGGGUGUGAACCGGGGGUGUCAGCCGCGGUCGAACACGUGUUCCCGUUGCCUCUGCCCCUGUUCAAGCGCCGAUUGGGAGCAAAUCUUCGCGAAUUUGGGCAAGAUCACUGCAAGGGAUUUGUUCACCAGACCAAGCUUUGUCUUUUGUGUAUGGACGACGUGCGGUUUUAGGCUAGGGACAGGGAGUUGUAGCGUCACCAAGGUGCCAGUGUCAGAAUGCCUGGUCCCGAGGUUGAGCUGCGCCAAAACCGUGUCAAAAGGAUUUGGUUUGAGUUCAAACUUUCCCAGAAUGUGUUCAAGGUAAUUUGGCACGACUUUGAUAUUUGGAUCUUCUGGCUUUGAGUUUGGAAAAGCAGAGAACACAGGUGAUCUUUGAGAAGAGGUCUGAAAUUCAGAAAUUCAGAAAUCUGAAUUUCUCUAAGGGUUCAUUGAUCAAGGGCUGAUUUGGAGAUUUAUUUGAGUUAUUUUGGCUAAGCCUUCUCAAUCUUUCUUGUUGCUUAACAAAUAUACUUUAACUUAUAUAAUUGGCUCAACUCAAAAUUUUAAACUUUUCAUCCUCUUUUCACAUCUUCUUGAAUUUUGUUCAUGGGGUUUACUUAGGGUUUUGAAUUAGGGUUGCACAUUCUUUUCUUUCAAAAGUCUCAAUUGUUUUGAUCAUGACACUUUUAAGUAUAUACUUGGUGAAUUCUUCCUCACUUAAAUUGUUUUGAUGUUCAUGCUUACUUUGGUUCACAUAAAAUAAUGGUUCUUGGUUUGGCUUUUUAAGAGAAACCCUAAGUGACACUGGGGUGUCACACGGACAGUCUAUAGGACCUGUUCGAUGCUCCACCGGACAGCCCAGAGGCCCCACCAGUCAGAGCUCCAACGGUCAGAACUCAACGGCCGGCUGACGUGGCUGGCGCACCGGACUGUCCGGUGCGCCAUGCGACAGACAGCCUCCCAACGGCCACUUUUGGUGGUUGGGGCUAUAAAUACCCCAACCACCCCACCAUUCAUUGCAUCCAAGUUUUCCACCUUCAACACAUUACAAGAGCUAUAGCAUUCAAUUCUAGAGACAACCAAAGAGAUCAAAUCCUCUCCCAAGUCCGGAAUCACUCCAAAUCAAAUAGUGACUAGAGAGAGCGACAUUUGUGUUCAUUUGAGCUCUUGCGCUUGGAUUGCUUCUUUUCUUUCUCAUACUUUCUUGUGAUCAACUCAAUUGUAACUGAGGCAAGAGACACCAAUUGUGUGGUGGUCCUUGCGGGGACUUUGUAUCCCGUUUGAUUGAGAAGAGAAGCUCACUCGGUCUAAGUGACCGUUUGAGAGAGAAAGGGUUGAAAGAGACCCGGUCUUUGUGACCACCUCAACGGGGAGUAGGUUUGCAAGAACCAAACCUCGGUAAAACAAAUCCUUGUGUCUCACUCUUUAUUUGCUUGCGAUUUUCUUUUCACCCUCUCUCUCGGACUCGUUUAUAUUUCUAACGCUAACCCGGCUUGUAGUUGUGCUUAAGUUUAUAAAUUUCAGAUUCGCCCUAUUCACCCCCCUCUAGGCGACUUUCAGGAGGCAAACCUGGUAAAUCUUUAGGGAACACAUCUGGAAAUUCCCUGACAACAGGUAUAUCCUUGUACUCUUUAACUGUAGCAGCACACACUCUUUCCACUGCUCUCUUAAGAGUUGGUAAUCGGAUCAGCAACUUAUAAUUACCGUUAGGUGAGUCCAACUGUAUCGUCCUUUGUAGAGCGUCAAUCACCGCCCCAUGCUGUCGAAGCCAAUUCAUACCCAGAAUCACAUCUAUGUCCUGAUAUGGAAGAACUAGCAUAUUGGUAGGAAACAUGUGAUCAACUAGCUUUAUGGGUAUCUGAUAUACCAUCUCCUUAGUAUGUAAACGCCCUCCAGGAGAUUGUAUGCUAUAUCCAUUCUCUACCAGCUCCAAAGACAACUGGUGCUUUAACACAAAUGUCCAUUCUUCUUAGCUUUCGGCUGGCUACUGAGAGGAGGAGUCAUAAGCAACUGUUGCUCACUCACUCGCCUAGGGAAGCGACAAUCCAGAGUAGAGUGUCCCGACUUACCACAAUUCGCACAUGAAUUGGCAUUAUCUGGAAUAUUUUCAAAACGAAUGUCUCGGACAUCCGGCUCAUGUGGAAUAAAAGGAAUAAUAGCAUGUCUUUCACAUGACUGUUGUGAGCUAGGUAGCUGGGGUAGAAAAGAACGAGGAUGAUAAACAGGUUGAUAAACAAUCCUCCGGCACUGCUUGACACUAUCAGAGAAUUCCUCCACAAGUUGCUUUCUUUUAGAUUCCUGAUGACGACGAAUCUUGUUAUCACCCAAAACAGCCUGACUGACCACCUCAUUAUAAUCUUCAACCAAACUAGUUGCCAUCAAACAUUGGAGCUUCUCGUUAAGGCCACGCAAGAAAUAGAACUUUUUCUUCUGAUUAGUAUUCACAAAAUCCAAGACAUACUGGGAUAGACGAGUAAACCUCUCAAAAUAUCCUAUCACACCCUCUUCUUUUCCUUGCUUUAGAUCUAGGAAUUCGUUAAACUUUAUUUCCAUAAGGGCUUUCGGAAUAUGAUGUGCCCGAAAUACCUCACAGAACUCCGCCCAAGAAACUUGAUGACCUUCUGGCUGUAGUGCAAGGUAUUCGGUCCACCAAGCUCCAGCGGGACCCUGAAGUUCUUGGGUAGCACACUGAACUUUUUGGAUAUCAUCACAACAGAUGAGUCCCAAGUUCUGUUCAAUCGUUCAAAGCCAAUCUUCUGCUUCCAAUGGAUCUUCUACCUUGGAGAACACUAGUGGUUGCGUACUGAGGAACUCCUUGUAGAGGACAGCAACAUCAGAAUCAUAAUGACCAUGCUGAACUGAUGUUGCAGGCUAGGCUAUUUGCUGAAGAACAGCAUUCACACUUGCAAGCUGAGCCACAACAUCAUCUAAAGUUGCUACCGGAGAUGGAUUGGAUGCAUUAACAUUCUUUUGGGAAACACCAGCACCAUGAUCCUUUCCGGAGCGGGUCCUCAUUCUGCCGACAAAAGGAGACUUAGCUUCCAAUCUUCAUGAAUAGGAAAGGAUAGCAUAGAAAAGCAAAGAUAGGUAGCAUGAACAGGGUGGGUAAAACACGCGUGGAAACUGCUACAGAGGGGGUUUAACUUAAAAGUGUAUGUCAUGAUGCAUGCUCGUCCUAUUCGUCCUCACGAUUCUUGCCGACACAUAGUGGCUAUCACGUUCUAUGGCGGUGGCAUACCUACUCACUCCGUCAUUGUACACUAGUCGCACUUUCCUAGUGUUUAAUUAGUUAGUGUACCUGCAAAAAAUUUCAUUACAGCCCGAACCCCAUGAUGCAAUUCACAGACUUUGUCACAGUUUAUACUCCAUAUAUUUCUAUAUGGAGGCCAGCUCCUCAUUAAGCGCUGAGCCACGCAUAGGUGCCGCUGCCACACUUUAACCACAGGGCAACCCAUUGUGGUAACUAUUCAUUACACUUCUCAGCAUUCUCAUGUCUGUAUACCCAUACACAUUCACGGGGUACUGAAUCCCAGUAAAGUAAUUACUCCACAUCGCAACCUUCAUAUAUACAUAUGUGUAACAUGUAUAUAGUCCAGUGCCACAUUUAAGCACUCCCCUAGACCGAUGUUUGUUCGGUCAUGCUCUCACAUCUCACCUUACCUGAGUGUCGAUCCAUUCAAAAUUGAAUGGCACUAAAAAUAACAUUACACAUGUAUACAUUACCCUUCCCAGGUUGUGGGUUAGUGGUUAUCAUCUUAAACUAAGCCACCUAAUAGUCCUUAGUUUUAACCACAUACUAUUUACACUUCUACUAUCAGGCCUUGAUUAUAGAUUCUUAAGUUUGUAAAAAUCAUUUAGACUCAAAAUCGUUUUGAAGUUUAUCAAAUGAUUACUUUAAUAUCCAUGCUAAUGGGGGAUCGCUCCGAUACCACGCUGUGACAACCCUCCCAAGUUAUCAGGCCCACAUGCACCAACCCUUGUCAUUAACGGCCUCAGAUGUCUAUGCACGUGUACUGGGUAACUUAACAAGGCUAUCACGAGUUCAACAACUCGAACUCAUUAUCCCAAGGAUCUCCCACAUUCAUGCAUAUUACAGUAAUCACACUCGAUACAAACACUUCGGAGAUAGAGCGGAAGACUUUACAAAACAUAUUUUACAUUUCCAAAGCUCAAGUUUUACAACAUAAGAAGAAUUGUAAUUAUUACAAGUCCUGAUAGUACCCAAAGUGCAUAACUUAUUAUAAUAAUUGGAAGGGUGAAGCCUUUCCAUAAGAGAUACACAUAAACAUUCUAAGCUUCAAGGCCUCCACAUGAAGUAACUAACCAAAAGAUAAGGGAAUAAAACUUCUCCUGCAAAAACAACAGGGGAUAAAACCCUGAGUACGCAAUUACUCAGCAAGACUUACCCGACUAAAGAAAAGACUCUCAAGGGUAUGCUAGCUGAUUGGGAAUCAAGGUAAAUUUUAUCAAUGAUCAAAGACUCUUUUUUGCAGAAAAGCUUGCUACCAGUUGAUCCUUAAGCCAAAUUUUAUUUCACUAGUUAGGUUAUUACUUGAAUCUAUAUUUGUCUGGUCUAGUUCAAGCACUUGGCCUAUAAUAGUCGCAUUUUAUUCAUUCUCAUAUUUCACUUACUAACUACGAUGAUGGUCACCAGGAUGAGUCUCCAUAACCGAGGAGCAACGACGAUUCGAACUGAUUAUACCCAGCUGGGGAUCUCUAAUCACACGACAUAUGUAGCAUUUAACCCUUGCAUAUGUCAACCAUUCCCACGGAGUCCUCCACUACAUGAAUAGGUCUGCGCCACCCGAGAGCACAUUACCCUACCAGGCGUGCUACUAUGCCAGGAGGGUACAUGCUACUCCCGCCAUCUCUCCACUCCCAGUGCGCGAUUGUCUCUUCACGUAUGGAAUAGCCAGGUUCAAGCUUACCCUGUCCCAUACCAGUGUAUGUGGCUAGUUGCAAAGUCUCAACCACAACAGGCCAGUCAACGGUACGGUCCUUAAUCAACACAAACGGGCGACCAUGUCAGCUCAGCGUCUGGUCUCGAUUUAUUCAAACCAUUUCCCCAUUUUUGGUACCCGGUAGGGGUACUCUUUUCGGAUGAUGAACCCAUCCGGAGCCCUGAUGGACUCAUCAUCAUAAGUUUGCUUUCACUUUUGAAUCAAAAGCCCAUAACCAAUGUUACACAUCAUUCUUUUGAAAAACAAAUGAUUUUUGAGUUUCUAAGCAGCACUAAGCAGUAAUAAUUCUUUUUAUAAAACAGGGAUUUAGGAAUUUUCAAGGAAUGAUAAUGCAUCAAUUGUUUAUCACACAACUCCUAUCACCUAAUGCAUCAUAUCAGGUGAUAAAGCAUUUAAAACGCAAGGAAGGGGCAAAUGCACCGGGGCUUGCCUUAUUACAGGAGGAGAUCUGAGAUCUUCUAUUAUGAUAAGUAGUUAGAUGGAGUUCACCACUGAAUCAACAACACUGGAACAAGCUCCCUCUUCACAAUUCAGUUCUACAUGAAAUGAUAUGAAUAUGAAUGCCUGUGUAUAUGCUACUAGCAAGGAAGGUAUUACGAAGCAUUACAAAAUUACAAUUACAAGCUAUCACCACAAGCCAUAACUACCAGGGAGCUACUUAUCCUUAGAACUCAUCUAACCAUCCAAAACUUGCUAAGAAACUUCAUUUUCAUUUUUUUACUAAGUCAUUAUGUGCUUUAAUCACCCAGGGAUAAAUCUCUUUUUCCUUUUUGACCAAUAACUAGUUUGCCAAGCAAACCUUGCCCAAACAGUUUCAAACUUUACCCAAGGGUUCAUAUGCUCAACAUAAGCUUACACAAUUUUUCUCAUAAUUUUUAGUGCUCUAUUUUAUUACUAAAAUUUCAGAUAAUCAUUUUAAGGCACCUUUUAACCCUCUAAAAAUAUCUAUUUGCUGCAAAAACUCCAAAUCUAUUUUUACCUGGCACUCUACUACUUCACCCACCUAACAAAACUUGUUUCACUAUUUUAGUACCUUUCCACAAUUUCUGGCACAAAUAAACAGACAUCAGACAAAAGAAAAUACUAAAUAUAUAAACAGCUGUGGGCAAGAACUGACUCAACUGGCCCAACUCUAAACAACACCAGCAGUCAAGCAGUGCUUACGGCUUUAGGCUCCAGCUUCGCGCUCCCUCUGCGCGCUGGCUGCAACGCCAAACUCCGGCAACAACAACACGGAACACGACGCAGUAGAGUUCCAAUCAGCAACUGGGUAGCAUCAGUGGCUCACCACGAAGCGGAACAACCCAUGAGCGUGCUCGCAACCAGCUCCAGACUAGGUCCGCCAUGGUGAGGUCAUUCCAGACGGUGUUCACCGACGGCGCCACGGCGUUCUCCAAGUCCUGGCCACGGAGGGGCGAGACGCCGGCAGCGUGAUCACAAUUUCAAAGACAACGACAACAAACGGCAGUCUCGGACAGCGGCGUAAUCUGGUUUUACACGAACGUGGGGCACAGACAUGGGAAACAUGUCGGUGAGUUGGCUAGAAACUAGAAGACGGCCGAGAAACACCUUAGGCGAGUUUGGUC
rnacentral:lncRNA from 1 species